GGUCUGGUGGUGUAAUGGUAACACACCUGCUUUACUUGCACUUUGUGGAGCGUUCAGCUGGAGGUCCCUUGUUCGACUCAAGGCCAGGCCA